rnacentral:tRNA from 1 species
UCUUAAGUCGCAGUAAGUAUAUA